CUUUACUCAUGGAAGGAUGAUCUUCCUGUAACUUAAUAAGAUAAUGUCGCCAACAAUCUCUUCAAAAAACACCCUGUUGAAACUUGCUGUCCUUGGGCUCUUGCCAGAGCCCAUUCCUGCCUCCUGCCUGCUGUCUGGCUUGUUUUUAGCAGUGGUUGCCUCUGGGCCGGGUUUGUGUUCUUGAAGAACUCAGUUCAGGAUGGUCCUAGCAGCUGAUGGAAGCCUCCAGAGCAAGUGGGUCAGGCUGUCAAGGUGGAACCCCGAGGCUGCAUGUGGCUGUGGAUACAGAAUUGAGUGGGCAUGAUCUGGAGAUACAGCAGGUUCAAGUAUGCAGAGUAGACCAAAUCGGAAAGAAGGCAUCACUUUAGACUGAAACAAAUCAGGGCUAACCAGAAAAGACCUUUUAGGCCAACGACCACUUGAGAUGUCCCUGAUUCCUCCGUGUUUCACUCACUGGCUCCUGGCUCCUGGAAUCUGUUGGACCUGUAUUUGCAUU
rnacentral:lncRNA from 1 species